rnacentral:rRNA from 1 species
AACGAACGCUGGCGGCAGGCUUAACACAUGCAAGUCGAGCGCCCCGCAAGGGGAGCGGCAGACGGGUGAGUAACGCGUGGGAAUCUACCCAGCUCUACGGAAUAACCCAGGGAAACUUGGACUAAUACCGUAUACGUCCUUCGGGAGAAAGAUUUAUCGGAGUUGGAUGAGCCCGCGUUGGAUUAGCUAGUUGGUGGGGUAAAGGCCUACCAAGGCGACGAUCCAUAGCUGGUCUGAGAGGAUGAUCAGCCACACUGGGACUGAGACACGGCCCAG